UUCGGCUGUUGGGCCAGGAGUUUGGCUCCGAUUUGGCCACCGGGGAACUCAGCAUUGAAAAACGAGCUGGGGUAUGAAAUUUACCUCGAUCGGCAGUCGAAAAACUCCCCGGUGCGGCGGCGGGUGGCGGCAGCCGGCUCCUUCGACGUCUGGUUCGUCUUUUCUGGCGAGGGCAGGCGGCUAGGGUUUUUGUGGUCAGGUGUGGGGCUUUUAUUUAUACCCUCUUGCCUUUUAAUCACAGCCAUCCAUCUUGAUUAAAUAUGGGCCGUUCGUACUUGAUUAAAUCUGGGCCGUCCAUGCGCGUGCAUCUGGGCCGUCCGUGCGCACGCUUGAUCUGGGCCGUCCGUGCGUGCGGGGACGCAUCUAGGCCGUCCGAUCGCGCGCACGCGGAUCGCCCACGUGGCCCGUUCCCGGAUCGACGUGGUCUUGCCACGCGGCAGGUCCUGGUUGGCCAGGGCUGCUGACUGGGCCGUUGACGUGGCUGCUGACGUGACGCUAACGGGGCAUAAUUUUUCUAAAUUGCUUUUUGACCCCUGAUUUCCGAUUUUCUUUUCAAAAAUACCC
rnacentral:lncRNA from 1 species